AUGCAAGAUUAUUUUUCGGAGGAUCCUACAUAUCCUGCACACCUCGUCCGCAGAUUGUACCGAAUGCGCCGAUCCCUUUUUGUGAAAAUUGUUGAAGCUUGCGAGGCAAAUUGUCGGUAUUUCACUCAGAGAAGGAAUGUCGCGGGCUUAAAGGGAUUUAGUGCA
rnacentral:rRNA from 1 species